rnacentral:rRNA from 1 species
AUGAACGCUAGCUACAGGCUUAACACAUGCAAGUCGAGGGGAAACGACAUCGAAAGCUUGCUUUUGAUGGGCGUCGACCGGCGCACGGGUGAGUAACGCGUAUCCAACCUGCCCACCACUUGGGGAUAACCUUGCGAAAGUAAGACUAAUACCCAAUGAUAUCUCCAGAAGACAUCUGAAAGAGAUUAAAGAUUUAUCGGUGAUGGAUGGGGAUGCGUCUGAUUAGCUUGUUGGCGGGGUAACGGCCCACCAAGGCAACGAUCAGUAGGGGUUCUGAGAGGAAGGUCCCCCACAUUGGAACUGAGACACGGUCCAAACUCCUACGGGAGGCAGCAGUGAGGAAUAUUGGUCAAUGGACGAGAGUCUGAACCAGCCAAGUAGCGUGCAGGAAGACGGCCCUAUGGGUUGUAAACUGCUUUUAUAAGGGAAUAAAGUGAGUCUCGUGAGACUUUUUGCAUGUACCUUAUGAAUAAGGACCGGCUAAUUCCGUGCCAGCAGCCGCGGUAAUACGGAAGGUCCGGGCGUUAUCCGGAUUUAUUGGGUUUAAAGGGAGCGUAGGCCGGAGAUUAAGCGUGUUGUGAAAUGUAGACGCUCAACGUCUGCACUGCAGCGCGAACUGGUUUCCUUGAGUACGCACAAAGUGGGCGGAAUUCGUGGUGUAGCGGUGAAAUGCUUAGAUAUCACGAAGAACUCCGAUUGCGAAGGCAGCUCACUGGAGCGCAACUGACGCUGAAGCUCGAAAGUGCGGGUAUCGAACAGGAUUAGAUACCCUGGUAGUCCGCACGGUAAACGAUGGAUGCCCGCUGUUGGUCUGAAUAGGUCAGCGGCCAAGCGAAAGCAUUAAGCAUCCCACCUGGGGAGUACGCCGGCAACGGUGAAACUCAAAGGAAUUGACGGGGGCCCGCACAAGCAGUGGAGUAUGUGGUUUAAUUCGAAGCAACGCGAAGAACCUUACCAGGUCUUGACAUCCCGAUGCUAUUUCUAGAGAUAGAAGGUUACUUCGGUACAUCGGUGACAGGUGGUGCAUGGUUGUCGUCAGCUCGUGUCGUGAGAUGUUGGGUUAAGUCCCGCAACGAGCGCAACCCUUAUCCUCAGUAGCCAGCAGGUAAAGCUGGGCACUCUGUGGAGACUGCCAGGGAUAACCUGGAGGAAGGUGGGGAUGACGUCAAAUCAUCAUGCCCCUUAUGACUUGGGCUACACACGUGCUACAAUGGCGUAAACAAAGGGAAGCAAAGCUGUGAAGCCGAGCAAAUCUCAAAAAUAACGUCUCAGUUCGGACUGUAGUCUGCAACCCGACUACACGAAGCUGGAAUCGCUAGUAAUCGCAGAUCAGAAUGCUGCGGUGAAUACGUUCCCGGGUCUUGUACACACCGCCCGUCACACCAUGGGAGUUGGGAAUGCCCGAAGCCAGUGACCUAACCGAAAGGAAGGAGCUGUCGAAGGCAGGCUCGAUAACUGGGGUG